CGAGCGAACAGACGAGGAGCUUGCUCCUCUGACGUUAGCGGCGGACGGGUGAGUAACACGUGGAUAACCUACCUAUAAGACUGGGAUAACUUCGGGAAACCGGAGCUAAUACCGGAUAAUAUAUUGAACCGCAUGGUUCAAUAGUGAAAGACGGUUUUGCUGUCACUUAUAGAUGGAUCCGCGCCGCAUUAGCUAGUUGGUAAGGUAACGGCUUACCAAGGCAACGAUGCGUAGCCGACCUGAGAGGGUGAUCGGCCACACUGGAACUGAGACACGGUCCAGACUCCUACGGGAGGCAGCAGUAGGGAAUCUUCCGCAAUGGGCGAAAGCUUGACGGAGCAACGCCGCGUGAGUGAUGAAGGUCUUCGGAUCGUAAAACUCUGUUAUUAGGGAAGAACAAAUGUGUAAGUAACUAUGCACGUCUUGACGGUACCUAAUCAGAAAGCCACGGCUAACUACGUGCCAGCAGCCGCGGUAAUACGUAGGUGGCAAGCGUUAUCCGGAAUUAUUGGGCGUAAAGCGCGCGUAGGCGGUUUUUUAAGUCUGAUGUGAAAGCCCACGGCUCAACCGUGGAGGGUCAUUGGAAACUGGAAAACUUGAGUGCAGAAGAGGAAAGUGGAAUUCCAUGUGUAGCGGUGAAAUGCGCAGAGAUAUGGAGGAACACCAGUGGCGAAGGCGACUUUCUGGUCUGUAACUGACGCUGAUGUGCGAAAGCGUGGGGAUCAAACAGGAUUAGAUACCCUGGUAGUCCACGCCGUAAACGAUGAGUGCUAAGUGUUAGGGGGUUUCCGCCCCUUAGUGCUGCAGCUAACGCAUUAAGCACUCCGCCUGGGGAGUACGACCGCAAGGUUGAAACUCAAAGGAAUUGACGGGGACCCGCACAAGCGGUGGAGCAUGUGGUUUAAUUCGAAGCAACGCGAAGAACCUUACCAAAUCUUGACAUCCUCUGACCCCUCUAGAGAUAGAGGUUUCCCCUUCGGGGGACAGAGUGACAGGUGGUGCAUGGUUGUCGUCAGCUCGUGUCGUGAGAUGUUGGGUUAAGUCCCGCAACGAGCGCAACCCUUAAGCUUAGUUGCCAUCAUUAAGUUGGGCACUCUAAGUUGACUGCCGGUGACAAACCGGAGGAAGGUGGGGAUGACGUCAAAUCAUCAUGCCCCUUAUGAUUUGGGCUACACACGUGCUACAAUGGACAAUACAAAGGGCAGCGAAACCGCGAGGUCAAGCAAAUCCCAUAAAGUUGUUCUCAGUUCGGAUUGUAGUCUGCAACUCGACUAUAUGAAGCUGGAAUCGCUAGUAAUCGUAGAUCAGCAUGCUACGGUGAAUACGUUCCCGGGUCU
rnacentral:rRNA from 1 species